rfam:Caldimicrobium thiodismutans DNA, complete genome.
GCCCACGUAGCUCAGGAGGCAGAGCACUUCCUUGGUAAGGAAGAGGUCACCGGUUCGAAUCCGGUCGUGGGCU